rnacentral:tRNA from 1 species
ACUCUCUUAGUAUUAAAUCAGUA